UACGUAGGGUGCAAGCGUUAAUCGGAAUUACUGGGCGUAAAGCGUGCGCAGGCGGUUGUGCAAGACCGAUGUGAAAUCCCCGGGCUUAACCUGGGAACUGCAUUUGUGACUGCAUCGCUGGAGUGCGGCAGAGGGGGAUGGAAUUCCGCGUGUAGCAGUGAAAUGCGUAGAUAUGCGGAGGAACACCGAUGGCGAAGGCAGCUCGCUGGGACGGUACUGACGCUGAGGCGCGAAAGCGUGGGGAGCAAACAGG
rnacentral:rRNA from 1 species